AUUGAACGCUGGCGGAAUGCUUUACACAUGCAAGUCGGGCGGCAGCGCGGGGGCAACCCUGGCGGCGAGCGGCGAACGGGUGAGUAACACAUCGGAACGUACCCUGUCGUGGGGGAUAACGAAUCGAAAGAUUCGCUAAUACCGCAUACGACCUGAGGGUGAAAGCGGGGGAUCGCAAGACCUCGCGCGAGAGGAGCGGCCGAUGGCGGAUUAGCUAGUUGGUGGGGUAAAGGCCCACCAAGGCGACGAUCCGUAGCGGGUCUGAGAGGACGGCCCGCCACACUGGGACUGAGACACGGCCCAGACUCCUACGGGAGGCAGCAGUGGGGAAUUUUGGACAAUGGGGGCAACCCUGAUCCAGCCAUUCCGCGUGAGUG
rnacentral:rRNA from 1 species